UUUCUUCAAAUUUGUCCGUGGCUUAUCCACAUAUCGGCAAUAGGGUGAAUACAACUAUAUAUGGAGGUUUUAGUUGCUGUAACUUUUGACGUGUGCUUAAAACCGUUCUCUCUCCGUGCCUUCAGUUAGUUCAGUUCAAUCUCCCAUGGGUAAAAAAACUUGCCUGCUCAGCCCCUCCAGGGUCUAAAUGGGUGCUGACAGAUGGCCAGACCCCUAUCCGCCUUCUAAAAGAUGAAACGGUUGGGAUCAUAAAGUUGUAGCAAAGCCCAUGUUUUCCCACAAACAAAGCUGCCAUAUUUGCUAUAGUUUUGUCAUUAUUUGGUCAGAUAAUGAGUCUAAGACCAAUAAGCCCCUUACUUAAGCCAAACCCUUUUUUCUUUCAGUUUCAGAGAGAGGGAGAGAGAGAGUUGGUGUAGUAUCGUGGUGAGUUUCAUCAGAAACGAGGGGUGGAGAAGGGUGGGGGCUAGUGGAGGGUGAGAUGAGGGAACGCAAGAAAAGACUGAAGGGAGAGGUGGGUUUUUUCACCAGAAUCGAGGGAAGAGAAGCAUAACCAUGAUGAUGAACCUUUGAUCCUUCUAAAUAUGCCCUCCCUAUAGAGGAAUGAACCAUCCAAUCUGAUUAUAUUUAUCAGUCUUUUGGAGUCUGAAACCGUCUCUUCUUCUCUCUCUUUUAUUUAAUUACACCAGGCCUCCCCCUCCCCUCUCUCCCUUUAUUUACUGUUCUUCCUUCAUUGCAUCUUUAAUAGGAGAACCCAUCUGCCUGUACUCCAAUCUUCUGCUUCUCUAUCGUCAUUAAACACACUCUCUCUCUCCCUCCGCGUGUGCGUGUUUUGCGUGUCUAUCCACAAGGACCGUUUUUGUGCUUUCAUGGGGGUUUAGCAAAGGGCUUCUUACAGAGUUUAUUGGCAUUCUGUCCACCUCCCAUCACAGAAAUUCCCUUUCUUUUCCCCUCUCUUUCAUGGAGGUGGGCAUACUGCCAACUGGGCUCUGUUGGCUUCUCUUUGUAAAACCCUUGUGAUGCAUUUCUUCCAGCUAUUCUGUUCCUUUGAUAAGGAUCCAGUGCUACCUUCUGUUUCAUCUAGGGUUUUAUCAGCCUCUUUGUUCUUGUAUGCAUCUGGGUCAGCACAGAUCCUUGAUUGAAACCAUUUGUUAAGAUAGGAGGAUCUGUGAACCCCCUUUCAAAACAAGAGGGAGGAAAUUGCACAAUCCUAAAAGAACAAAAACCCAAUGACAGAAACAAGAAGAUUUUGUCAGAGUUCAUGAGACUCAAAUGAUGACUCCAUUGACAGGUUUUGAAUUAAAACUUUUUUUUUUGUUUCUUGAACCAACUUUGUCUGAUACUGUAUUGUAUGUAAUCAUGUUGAUUAUCUUAUUACAAUCAAAGCAAAAGAUUUUUAUGUUCAUGGCCUCACGCAUGAUUGCCACCAAUUUCACAAUGUCAGUCAUUUAUUUACUACACUUAACCAUUUAAUCUGUAGGGCAGCCCUUGUACUUAAUGAAACGUUUCUACACUCUCCCAAACCCCAUUAUACGUAGCCUCAUGAUUGAAAGACUGACAAUACUAUUAUUUAAAUUGUUAUAAAGCAAAACCAAAAAAAAAAUAACAUCCCUUAGGCCUUUCCCUCCACUGGGUGUAGGUAAAACAUCUAAUCAUGCAAUUCAACUGGACUGCCUUCACUUUUCAUUUGUUUUCCUCAUUCUCUCCUUCCAUGUCUGAACUCUGAUGAAAUUGUUGAGCUUCCUUUAUUUGUGAUAGUUUCAUAAGGUCUAUUCUCUUUAACUGGUUUCCAUGAGCAUUCGGGGAUCAGUCUGAACAGGGAGAAUAUUGGUCAAGGGGAGCCGUGCUGCGGGGCUUCACCAUGGUGGCUCGUGCCCUGGCAUAUCAUUGUUGAUUUUGGAGGUUAAUGGGGUGGAGCCGGUGACCAUCGGACCUACUACAUGCUGCUCAUGGUUGCUUUAGUCAAUGUUGUAAGAAUUUUGGUCAAUGGUACGACUCAAAUCAAAGAUGGUUAAUGAUACUCAUAAUCAAUGGGGACCAUUGCUGGUGUUUUUCGGUUUUUUAUUUUUUUUGUCCCCCGUAGCUUUUUCUCUUGUUUUAGGUUUGGGACUGAUUCCCUGCCAAAAAAAAAAAAAGAGUUGGCUUAGAGAGGUAUUUUCUUCCCCAGCAUAGUCUUCUUUUCCUUCAUUUGGUUCUUUUAUGGGCCGUGAACCAAGUGGCAAUGAUAUCUUCACUCUCUUAUGGAGUUAA